UUUUUUUUUUUUUUAUGUUUUUGUUGCAGAUACAUUAACUGACAAGUUCUGCUAUAUGCAAUGUAUCUUUCCAUAGAACCUGUCUUAUUAUUCUCUUUUUUUUAUUAUUUUCUCUCACUUUCUUUUCUAACCAAACAACCGGUUAACCCCUUUUGGCCUAUGUUUGCCCAAUUUUUAAGAUAAAACUUUGUAUGUGGUGGUGGAUUUGAAAUUGUUUGGUUUUCUUUUUCUUUUAUAUAUAUAUUUAAUUUCUAAUUAAAUAUAUAUAUAUAUAUAAACCACCAGAACUUAAUAUAAUCUUAACUUUUAAAGGAAGAAAUUUAAAUAAUUUAAAUUUAUAAUUAUCUUACACAUUGGAGUGACUUAAACACAGAAUGACUCGAACCAAAUUGAUUCGAAAAUCUUAAAAUUUUAUUUGAGUUUUUAAAAAUAUCCUCUUAUUAAUAUUUUAUAAAAAUAUAUAAAAAUAAAAAUACUUUUAUAUUAAUAAUUAUUCUAAAAACAUAUUUAAUUAAUAGUUUUUUAAAAAAAAAUUAACUGAGUUAACCUCCGAUUUAUUUGUGACAUUAAUUUUCAAUAAAUAAUAUUGAUUCAGAAUAUAAAAAUUAAGUAAAGAAUAUUUGUUUUAAAAAAAUUGGAUAACAUAAACCUCUACUUUUUUGAUAAUUACUUUAUUUAACUUUAGAAUAAAGAAAUGGCUAAUAUUGCAUUCAAGUAACAUUGAACUUAAUUAUGGGCGGUGCAUAAGUAAUUAUUUUAGGGACUUUGCAUGCAAGAUUCUUGAAGUAUCUUGCAAUUAUGAUUAAUUAUUUUUUUUCUCAAGUGGAGAAUAUCAUUUUCAAUUACAUCAUUUCUCUUUAAUUAUGAGUUUGAUUAAUGGAAAUUCUUAUUUAAGCAAAGAAUUGUACUAGGUAAAAUAAAACGAAACUCAUGUAUGGCCUGAGUUUGAGUCACGCUAAUCAUAUUUAUUAUUCAAGUUUUAUCUUAUUCUUGUGUUUCAACAAAAAAAAAUGAAAUUUGAAUUGGUAUUUUUAUUUCGAUUAAUUUAUACAUUUCUUUUUAAUAAGUAGUUUGAAUUUUAAUAUAUUUAUUUAGUUAAUUGGAAGAACUGAUUGAAUCGAUAAAAAAAUUUUAAAAAUUAAAAAUUGAAUUUUAGCAGUUACAAUCCUUUCUCAGUGCUGAUAAAAUGCAUGGGGUUGAAGAUUUGAUGAUGAAAAUAUCAUGGAGUCCUUUUUAUUAGGAGUUAUAUUAUAUUUUGUCUCUUCUAUUAGUCCUUGUAUAUUAGAUCAAUAAAAAUUGGUUCUUUUGUUAAAAUUUCUAUUCAUUUUUACAAUUAAAAAUUGGUCAUUGUAUGUCAAAAUGAGGUACACACAUGUAACUGUAUGACUAUUUUGUUAAUCACGUCAGUUUUUAACAAUAAAAAUAGAUGAAAUUUUAAUAGAAAUAAUCAGUUUACUCUUUAAUCUAACGUAUAAUGAAUAAUUUAACUCCUAACGCAUGGACCUCUAUAAUAUUUUUACCAAGAUAUUACUGAUAAAAAUAGAUAAAAAUUAACAUAUAUAUAUACAAAUUAUUUUUUAUUUUUUUAAUAUGUCUUAAAAAAUUAUAAUUAAUACACGUCUAAAUAACUAGAUCUAAAAUUAAAUCAUUACAAUAAUUUAAAAUAGGAAAACAAUGGGUUAAUUAGGGGAAAAAAAAGAAAAAGAAAAAAGAUGGGAAUAUGAAUUAGAGUUUGAUGGUUUAAAGGAACAAGUUGAACAAAGUGUGUGGUUUUUAUCAUGUUUGAUUAACUGUAUUUAGCCUUUAAAUUCAGACAAGUCUCCAAGGUUUCCCAACUAAGCCAACUUUGGAAUUUGGAAAUCCAGCUGCCUUUUUUACUUUAUUAUCAUAUUUAUGUCACAUAAUUAGCCAACUUGAUCUUAAAAUAAUAAUAUUAUUAUUAUUAAGAAAAACUAAUCAUACUUAAUCAAUGAAAUUAAAAUCAGGGUAAUUAUAUAGAAGUGAGCUGGACUCGGUUGAUUUUUUUUUUUUUUGAUUUUUCAAAUUGUUUGUGAUAAUUCGAUUUCAUUCUUUGAUUUUUUUUUAUAAAAUUAAUUUUAGUUUAUUGUUUUUGGAUAUUAUUUAGGAAAAUUUUAAAAACUUUUUAUAAAUAUUUUUUAGAAAACAACCCAUAGCACUUAUAUGGUUUUUUUUCUGUGUAGAGUUUUAAAGUUUUAGUUUGAAUUAAGCUUGUUUAAAUCAGAUCAGAUUGACCAGUCAAAUUUAUUGGAUCGAGAAUCAACUAGGGUACUGGUCUAGAAAAGGGAAUUGUUCUAGUUGAAUUGAAUUUUUAAUAUUUUUAUGAUUUUUUUAAUGAUUUAUUUAAUCGAACCAAUCGAAACGAUUACACCAAUUGGACCUACGAACCAUUGACCUAACUGGUUCUACCGUUGAUCCGAUUUUGAAAACCUUGGUUUGGAGGAUUUAUUUAGCUUUAGUUUGAGUUUAUAUUUGAAGAGGUUAUUAGUAUUAUUUAAACACAAUUAAUACAUCUAAAUAACUACAAUCAUAACCAAUUAUUAUAACGGAAUAUAUUUAGACUUAAACCAAGACCUACACAUAACAAAACUUAAUCCAAAGUAAAUACGAACCUUAAUCUUACUUGUAAAUAUAAAAAUAAAAUAAACAAAAAUUAAUUUCAAUAAUUUUAGUAUAAGGCCAAUUAAAGGUGAAAUGCAAAUUUUAAAAUGGGAAAUUUAAUUAAUUUUAGAAAAGUCCAUGCCUCUUAAAUUAGAUGGUGCAGUCUAUAUGGGAAUUGAAGAAUAUUGUCAAACAAUUCUCUCUCAUCAUUGUUCAACUUGAAUUGCCAUUUUCUAAGAGAUAUUUUAAAAUGGAAAAGAAAAUCUUCCAAGGAGAAUAAGUUACUCAUGAUUUACAUUAUUGAAAAGACCCCAAGAGAGUUGUGAACCAUUACCUUUUUAUGAACCAAUAAUUUUUUGACACACAUAAAUUUUAGAUUUACUGCCUUUCUAAUCACUUGCAAAAAGAUCUAUUUAGUAUUCUUUUUACUUAAUGUUAUAGUAUCGUUAUAGUAACUAAUUUUAUUGUCAUUGUUGUUUUUACACUUAGCACACAUAAACGUGCACCAUUCCGUUUUAUAUGAUUAUCAAUCAAAUAAAAAGUUAUUUUAUGUAUCAAUUCUUACAUCUCCUACUACUGGUGGAGUGACCGCGAGUUUUGGUAUGUUGGGGGAUAUCAUUAUUGUUAAACCCAAUGCCUAUAUUGCAUUUGCGGGUAAAAGAGUAAUUGAGCAAACAUUGAACAAAACAAUACCGGAAGGUUCUCAGGCGGCUGAAUAUUUAUUCCAUAAGGGUUUAUUUGAUCAAAUCGUACCACGUAAUCCUUUAAAAGGUGUUCUGAGUGAGUUAGUUCAGCUCCACGGUUUUUUUCCUUUGAAUCAAAAUUCAAUCAAGUAGAGUCUUAAGUGAAAUUUUUUUAUUUGUAGUGAAAAGGUAGUUAGUUAGUUUAUCAGAAUCAAAGUCAAAGCCCAUUACGCGGGCUUUGACUUUGUGACAAAAAAAGGAAUUGUCGAAAAACAAAUUAUGUGGAUAAUUAUUAUUAUCAUUAUCCGAUAUUACUAAUAAGUAAACCUCUAGCAACAAGAUAAAAAGCGAAUUUUUCCUUCUGUGAAAUGAAAAAUUUGGAGAGACAAAUAAGACGAAUUUUUAUCUUCCUCUAUUGCGUAUGUAUAUAUAAUUUAAAUAGCGAAAAAAAUAGAAUAGAANNNNNNNNNNNNNNNNNNNNNNNNNNNNNNNNNNNNNNNNNNNNNNNNNNNNNNNNNNNNNNNNNNNNNNNNNNNNNNNNNNNNNNNNNNNNNNNNNNNNAAAGGAGGGAAUAGUAUGUAUUUUUCGUUGGGGUUUUCCUGGAAAAAAUCGUCGCAUCUUUCUACGAUUCCUUAUGAAAGAUAUUCAGUCCAUCAGAAUAGAAGUUAAAGAGGGUAUUUAUGCUCGUCAUGUCCUUUAUAUGGAAAUCAGAGGCCAGAGGGCCGUUCCCUUGACUCGUACUGAUGAGAAUUUGACUCCGCGUGAAAUUGAACAAAAAGCUGCUGAAUUGGCCUAUUUUUUGCGUGUACCGAUUGAAGUCUUUUGAAAUGAAUUGCAGAAUAAAAGCUUUCUCGCCGGGAGGAAAAAGCUCAAUCCAAGAAUCCUCUUUUUUCUAUAGCAGAACUAAACUGAAGUUUCUUCAGAAUGCCCAUUCAAACCAAAGCGGACGUAUACGGAAGAGUCAUAACAUAAAAAAACAGUUUUUUUUGUCCACAAAAAUAGUUUUUUAUGCGUCUGUAAAUGUAAAACCGCUCAACUUAAUUCAGUAACAAAAUAAGCAAGAAAUCGAAAUACUGGAUUCAUCUCAUAUAUCAAAGUAUUUCGAAAUAAAGACUUUCGCUUUUUAUUUGCAAUAUUUGGAGUUGAUACGUGAGAUACAGAUAGAUCAUAUCUUGUAAAUUUUCUCUACUUUUCUUUUCUUAAUCGGCCCCUCCCCUUUUAUCCUUUCUUUUGUGCUCCUUAAGAACUAAAGAACUAAACAAGUGGAUUUCUUUCUUAUAACAUAAUGAUAAACGUAAUGAUAC
rnacentral:lncRNA from 1 species